AUUCCAGCUCCAAUAGCGUAUAUUAAAGUUGUUGCAGUUAAAAAGCUCGUAGUUGGAUUUCUGGUCUGAUGCCCUGGCCCGCCUCAAUUUCGAGGUGAGUGCCGGCUGUGCGUCUACCAUCCUUCUAGAAAACGUUCCUACCCUUCACUGGGCCGGGUUCGCGAUCUAGAUCUUUUACUUUGAAAAAAUUAGAGUGUUUAAAGCAGGCUUUUGCUAUGAAUACAUUAGCAUGGAAUAAUAAUCUAGGACUUCGGUUCUAUUUUGUUGGUUUCUAGUACUGAAGUAAUGAUUGAUAGGGAUAGUUGGGGGUGCUAGUAUUGGGCGGCCAGAGGUGAAAUUCUUGGAUUCGCUCAAGACUAACUUAUGCGAAAGCAUUCACCAAGGAUGUCUUCAUCG
rnacentral:rRNA from 1 species